GACGGCAGUAACGGUGGCGGCGGUGGUUGUACAACUAGGAAAACUCGGGCGCGGCGGAGGACCGGUGGAUGUCGUCGUCGGCGUUGGCGGCAGCGACGGAGGGGGUCGUGGCGGUGGCGGUUUAAAGCGGAAAACCCGAAACGGUAUACGCGGCCGAAACGGGUCGGAACGCGUCCUCGGUGUCAAACGGGAUUGGUACGGCGGUUUGGAAAAAGACGACGACGACGGUGGCUGCAACCACGAAGACUGCGGCGGACGACACGUGGUACAAUAACGGCAGACACGACGGACCGGCCGCCGGCGUA